GACGAACGCUGGCGGCGUGCUUAACACAUGCAAGUCGAACGGAAAGGCCCUGCUUUUGUGGGGUGCUCGAGUGGCGAACGGGUGAGUAACACGUGAGUAACCUGCCCUUGACUUUGGGAUAACUUCAGGAAACUGGGGCUAAUAUCGGAUAGGAGCUCCUGCUGCAUGGUGGGGGUUGGAAAGUUUCGGCGGUUGGGGAUGGACUCGCGGCUUAUCAGCUUGUUGGUGAGGUAGUGGCUUACCAAGGCUUUGACGGGUAGCCGGCCUGAGAGGGUGACCGGCCACAUUGGGACUGAGAGACGGCCCAGACUCCUACGGGAGGCAGCAGGGGGGAAUAUUGCACAAUGGGCGGAAGCCUGAGGCAGCAACGCCGCGUGCGGGAUGACGGCCUUCGGGUUGUAAACCGCUUUCGCCUGUGACGAAGCGUGAGUGACGGUAAUGGGUAAAGAAGCACCGGCUAACUACGUG
rnacentral:rRNA from 1 species